rnacentral:rRNA from 1 species
UACAGAGGUCUCAAGCGUUGUUCGGAUUCAUUGGGCGUAAAGGGCGCGUAGGCUGCGGGGUAAGUCGGGUGUGAAAUCUCAGAGCUCAACUCUGAAACUGCACUCGAUACUGCUUUGCUUGAGGACUGGAGAGGAGAUUGGAAUUCACGGUGUAGCAGUGAAAUGCGUAGAUAUCGUGAGGAAGACCAGUGGCGAAGGCGGAUCUCUGGACAGUUCCUGACGCUGAGGCGCGAAGGCCAGGGGAGCAAACGGGG